UAACUCAGUGGUAGAGUGCUUGCCUCCUAUGCAGAAGGACCCAGGUUUAAUUCCUGA
rnacentral:tRNA from 1 species